rnacentral:rRNA from 1 species
UACGGAGGAUCCGAGCGUUAUCCGGAUUUAUUGGGUUUAAAGGGUGCGCAGGGGGAGAUUAAGUCGGCGGUGAAAUUUUGCAGCUCAACUGUAAAAGUGCCUUCGAAACUGGUUUCCUUGAGUGUAGAUGAAGUAGGCGGAAUUUGUGGUGUAGCGGUGAAAUGCAUAGAUAUCACGAGGAACUCCGAUUGCGCAGGCAGCUUACUAAACUACUACUGACGCUCAGGCACGAAAGCGUGGGGAUCAAACAGGAUUAGAUACCCGCGUAGU